rnacentral:rRNA from 1 species
CCUACGGGAGACAGCAGUGAGGAAUAUUGGUCAAUGGACGAGAGUCUGAACCAGCCAAGUAGCGUGAAGGAUGACUGCCCUAUGGGUUGUAAACUUCUUUUAUAAAGGAAUAAAACGAGGCACGUGUGCCUUUUUGCAUGUACUUUAUGAAUAAGGAUCGGCUAAUUCCGUGCCAGCAGCCGCGGUAAUACGGAGGAUCCGAGCGUUAUCCGGAUUUAUUGGGUUUAAAGGGAGCGUAGAUGGGUUGUUAAGUCAGUUGUGAAAGUUUGCGGCUCAACCGUAAAAUUGCAAUUGAUACUGGCAGUCUUGAGUACAGUAGAGGUAGGCGGAAUUCGUGGUGUAGCGGUGAAAUGCGUAGAUAUCACGAAGAACCCCGAUUGCGAAGGCAGCUUACUAGACUGUAACUGACAUUGAUGCUCGAAAGUGUGGGUAGCAAACAGGAUUAGAUACCCCGGUAGUC